rnacentral:rRNA from 1 species
AGUGAACGCUGGCGGUAGGCCUAACACAUGCAAGUCGAACGGCAGCACAGUAAGAGCUUGCUCUUACGGGUGGCGAGUGGCGGACGGGUGAGGAAUACAUCGGAAUCUACUUUUUCGUGGGGGAUAACGUAGGGAAACUUACGCUAAUACCGCAUACGACCUACGGGUGAAAGCAGGGGAUCUUCGGACCUUGCGCGAUUGAAUGAGCCGAUGUCGGAUUAGCUAGUUGGCGGGGUAAAGGCCCACCAAGGCGACGAUCCGUAGCUGGUCUGAGAGGAUGAUCGGCCGCACUGGAACUGAGACACGGUCCAGACUCCUACGGGAGGCAGCAGUGGGGAAUAUUGGGCAAUGGGCGGAAGCCUGAUCCAGCCAUACCGCGUGGGUGAAGAAGGCCUUCGGGUUGUAAAGCCCUUUUGUUGGGAAAGAAAAGCAGCAGGUUAAUACCCCGCUGUUCUGACGGUACCCAAAGAAUAAGCACCGGCUAACUUCGUG